AGAGGGUGGCAAGCGUUGUUCAGAUUUACUGGGCUUAAAAGGGCGUGUAGGGCGUCCUGAUAAGUCAGAUGUGGGAAGCCUUGGGCUUUAACCCAAGAAGUGCAUUUGAUACUGUCGGGAUUGAGUCGUACAUGGGAGGGCGGAAUUCCUGGUGUAGCGGUGAAAUGCGUAGAUAUCAGGAGGAAGGCCAGUGGUGAAGACGGCCCUCUGGGUAAUGACUGACGCUGAGGCGCGAAAGCGUGGGUAGCAAACAGGAUUAGAUACCCUGGUAGUCCACGCCCUAAACGGUGGGUACUAGGUGUGGGUGGCGAUAGUCAUCCGUGCCAAAGGGAAACCAUUAAGUACCCCGCCUGGGGAGUACGGCCGCAAGGUUG
rnacentral:rRNA from 1 species